UACGAAGGGUGCAAGCGUUAAUCGGAAUUACUGGGCGUAAAGCGCGCGUAGGUGGUUCAGUAAGUUGGAAGUGAAAUCCCCGGGCUCAACCUGGGAACUGCAUCCAAAACUGGCAAGCUAGAGUAUGGCAGAGGGUGGUGGAAUUUCCUGUGUAGCGGUGAAAUGCGUAGAUAUAGGAAGGAACACCAGUGGCGAAGGCGACCACCUGGACUGAUACUGACACUGAGGUGCGAAAGCGUGGGGAGCAAACAGG
rnacentral:rRNA from 1 species